rfam:Salmo salar isolate Sally breed double haploid chromosome ssa06, whole genome shotgun sequence.
AUCCCUGUGGCUCAGUUGGUAGAGCAUGGUGUUUGCAACGCCAGCAUGGUGUGUGCAACGCCAGGGUUGUAGGUUCGAUUCCCACGGGGGGCC